ACACGGAUGAUGGCAAUUGGGCAGCACCAGAUCCAGCAAAUGCUUGGUGUGAGGACAGGUGGGGCCCAAGCGGACUGUGCCCAAGAGAAUCAAAUUUCCAGCCAUUCAGUGGACAUUUAAGUUUGUUUCUGUUUGCAUGGAAAGCUAGCAACUGCCUGCAGCAGCUCUCCAGAAAUUAGAAGCAAAGGCUCGUGAGCUCGGCAAACAUUCUCCAUGGUUAUGGAAGCCUUGUGCUAAUGAAGCCUGUGUGGCCAUGGCUUGAUGAGUGGCGUGUACAUCUGCACCCGGGAUCUGAACCCACAAACCCCAGGCCACUGAAGCAAAGCGGGCGAACUUAACCACUAUGCCACCAGGUCGGCCCCUGAACUGUACACUUAUGGUACCUGCGACAAUGGUCCCCUCAACAACAAUACCAAAGGUUUCUGCUCUGGCGGAAUCAUUGAUUUGCUGCUCCUAUUGUGUUUGCUGCCUACUUUCAUAAUGGAGGGAAACGCAGAUUUUCGGUCUGAGGAUAGUGAAAAUGAAGAUGUAGUUUUUUUCCCCUCCAAACUGAUAGACUUCCUGAGUUCCAGCCUUAGCCUGCUGCGAGGUCAACGGACUCAGGGUGAAGAAGCCCCAGUGGAUACAGAGAGCAUAUUCCUGAUUAGGGAGCUUCACAAGGUAACUAACAGCCCUGAGGGGAAGAAAAAGUUAAUGCCAUUCCACUGUCCGCACUGAUUCAUCUGAAAAGAGGUUAUAGAUCCUUUAACUGCAGAAUUCUGGGAGGCGGGGGCCAUACAGGUACCAUGGAGGAGGGUGCAGAGGCAGGGGUCCUGGCCAAGAUGGGAGAAGUGGGGGUCUCAGAGAAACAGCAGCAUCAGCAGCAGGGAGCAGGGCAGGAGUGGGCCUAAGGAAAGCUGGGCAGUGGAGAUGAUGGGGCAGUAGACAGAGCCAGCACAGGGGAAAUGAAACUGUAGAAAUGGCCGAUAUCGUUUAGUAAUUGACUAUAUGUAAGCAUUUGGAAGGUACCACUGGGUAAACUGGAAAUUACCUGGGGACAUUCCUGCAUCAUUUGCGGGUAGCUAAACCCAAUGAAAUGUACGUUACAUUAGAAUAUUUCAGAUGGGUUUCAUCUACAAACAGCACAAGUUCAAAGCUUGAAAAUCUAUCAUUUCACUAUCUACUAGAGGUUAAAAAACGUCAAGUUAAAUUUCAGAAUAUAUCAGCCUGCAGUGAUGAUGCCCUCAGAGAAGUGGAUCUAUUUUUAAAGCAGAAGAGAACCUUCCAGAAGAGAAUCAUUGUGUAGUCUAUUUUCUAAUGCAUACAAUCUGUGGCACCCAUUUAGAAAUGUUAAAAAUAGCACUUCAGCACAUCAUCUGUGACCUUCUGCACUUAUUCAAAUGUGACGGAGGCAAAGUAGAUGGUAA
rnacentral:lncRNA from 1 species